rnacentral:rRNA from 1 species
GGAGGGUGCAAACGUUGUUCGGAAUCACUGGGCGUAAAGGGCGCGCAGGCGGACCUGGUAAGUCAGGAGUGAAAACUCGGGGGGCUCAACUCCGAGCCUGCUUCUGAAACUGCAAGUCUUGAGGGCCGGAGAGGAGAGUGGAAUUCCUAGUGUAGCGGUGGAAUGCGUAGAUAUUAGGAAGAACACCAGUGGCGAAGGCGACUCUCUGGACGGUUCCUGACGCUGAGGCGCGAAAGCUAGGGGAGCAAACAGGAUUAGAUACCCUGGUAGUCCUAGCCGUAAACGAUGAGUGCUAGGUGGUGGUGGUUUCAACGCCUUCACUGCCGGAGCUAACGCAUUAAGCACUCCGCCUGGGGAGUACGGCCGCAAGGUUG